GAAAAAAUGGCAACAGAAGAAGGAAAGAGGAGAGAAUGGGGAGCAGACACUAAGGUGUAGUGAAAGGAGGAAAAUGAAGGCUAAGUCUAAUGAUGUGAAUCCUCUUUGCAAUUCCAUCAAAGGAGGGAUCUUCCUACUGACCAGAAGACCUGAACAGCCUGAGAAUGAUUCCUUUCAACUCCGAGAGAAGAAGCUGCAGAUGAAGAGCAAGUAGGAUGGUGAAGUGCUUAAUCAGUGGCCAGGCAAUCAAUAAACACAACAGGUCAAAAACUUGAAGCACAGAGUGGGAUGUCAGAUGCCAAGAUUUAAAUCUAGUCAUUUGAUUCCAGAGCCCACAUUCUUAAAUAAUAUGCUACACUGACCUUUAUUGUCUUUAAACAUUAUCUUUAUUUAAUGUGUUUCAUAGAAAUUACUUCUCAGGUAUUCCUAAAUUUAUUUUUAAAAAUAAUGUCAUGCUAUCACUAUAAUAUAGUUUUUUAAAUUAACUUGAGAGGUAAUGUAGUAUGAUCAACUUCCUUAAUGGCCUUUUAAACUGGAAAUAACUAUUAAAUAUUUUAAUAUUAUAAAUUAACAGGCAAAAUGGUGAAAAAUCUAACAUCUGGUUCUUAAAAGUAAGUUGAAAUAUAAGAUCAGAUUUGAAUGCACAUGGAAAAAUAGAACUGGCAAAUAAUGCCAUAUUUGAAGAUCUUUUAGUAUUCUCUGGUAUUUUUCCUUUCAUUUCAAAAUUGUUAUAUUCUUUUUAAUGACUUCAAAUGAAUUAGGAAAUGUCAGGCUUCUAAAAAUCAAACAGAACGUCCAACCAGUAGAUUUCAUUCAGGGCAGUGGGAGCCUGUUCGGUUGUUUCCUCUUUCCCCCUCACUUUUAAAAAUCCUCAAUCACUGCCAUUUCUCUUCUCAGCUUUCACAACACUUUACAGGCAGCUGAAUGAAAGGGCAGAAGCUUCCUCUGAAACUCCUGUUAUUUCAGCUCUAAAAUCAGCUGAAAAGGAUGCCCUCCCCAGAGACAGAAAUGCAUUCCCUCCAUCAUGAACCUGCAAUGCCCUCAGGUUGUGGCAAGGGAGAAGUUUAGCACUUGAACCUAGAUAACGCUAUUUUUUUAAUCAAAGUGCACCAUUCUUGUUUCAUAUGGCCUGUGGCACAAUUUAUUUAAAACAAUAUGGUGCAUCAAAGAAGGUAAACAAUAAUAACAAUAAUAAUAAUAUAGGAAUAGCAAUGUGCACAUAAAUAAUAUAGGAAAACACAUGGCCUCAGUACCUUCAUGAAAUGGGACUUCAAUAUACAUAUUUCUUAUACAGCUUUAUGCAUGACUUCAUUGCACUUCACUGCUCUGUUGUGUCACUCUACCAAUAAACCUAUACAUCAUACUGAGUGAAGUAUGUUCACAGUCCCUUUACUUGACAAAAAAAAAAAAAAAAAAAAAAAAAAGGAGCAGUGUGGUUUAGGAGAAUGACCACUGAGCUAGAAGUAUGAAGACUAGAUAGAACUUGAGUCCCAUCCCCAGCACUUUCGGGCUCCCAGAUGUUGGGUGAGUUGUGCAUCCUCUUUAAAAAUCAGUUUGCAGACCAAUGGUACAUCUCUGUCCACCUGCUAGAGUUCUUGUGGUAACUAAAUAAGGUAAUGUAUAAGAAAGCAUUCUGAGAAAAUGCUACAUGUAAAAGGGGAUUUUUUUUUUCUCAUUGUGAUUUUUUUACUAUGUUUUUACUUUACAAAUUUACAAAUGUUUACUUUUCUUGAAUUUGCUUACCAGUAAAUUAGUUCACUGCUGGCACUUCUUUGUAGUCUAUUGCUAUGGGAAGUAAUAUGUUUAUCUGAAAAUUAUGAAGAUUCCUAGAGUUUCUUUACACUUGUUAUAUUUUAGGGGCAAUAAAAAAAGUAUAUGCUUAAACUUGAAUUAUGUCUUAUUUUUCUUUAGUGCAUUAUAAUUUCACAUCUAAAUACUGGUAUGUUUGUACCAAAUUAGCAAAGCAAAAAUGCAAAAUGUUAUUAAUUGACAUUGGUCGUUUUUUUAUUUAUACCACAUCCCCAUAUCCUAUUUAUUUGACUAUAGAUGUCCAUCUAAUUUAGAAAAUCAUUAUCUAACCUGUUUCAUUUUACCAAAUUGUCUUUUUUAAUAAUUUAGGUUUUGAGUAUUUUCUCCUAAGCUUUUGAAUCCAUGCUUACACAAUUGCAUUGAUAUUAUUUGAG
rnacentral:lncRNA from 1 species